rnacentral:rRNA from 1 species
CAGUAGCCACGGGAAUACGAAGGGUGCAAGCGUUACUCGGAAUUACUGGGCGUAAAGCGUGCGUAGGUGGUGGUUUAAGUCCGUUGUGAAAGCCCUGGGCUCAACCUGGGAAUUGCAGUGGAUACUGGGUAACUAGAGUGUGGUAGAGGAUAGUGGAAUUUCCGGUGUAGCAGUGAAAUGCGUAGAGAUCGGAAGGAACAUCUAUGGCGAAGGCGACUAUCUGGGCCAACACUGACACUGAGGCACGAAAGCGUGGGGAGCAAACAGGAUUAGAUACCCCCGUAGUUCCUGUCUCUUAUAC